CGAGCCCCGCCUCGCGCCCUCCGGAAGGCGGGUUAGGGACGCCCGGGGCUCAGCUUAGGGAGGCGGGCGCCACGCCACGAGGAGGCUGCCCUGAUAGCCGGUGCAAGUGCUCCUUGGCGGGGCGGCCCGCGACUCCCGCCUUGGACCGUUCACUCCCUGAGGGGCCUGGGGGUCAGUCAGAAGACUAACGACCACCAGUCACCGAGAGCUCAGUUCGUGCCAAACCCUGCUCGCGCUGUCCCCGACUUAUUGUUCACAACGACCCUACAAGUCAUUCUCCUUCCCACUGGGAACCGAGGAUCAGAGGGAAGUCAUGGCCCGAGUGCCCCGGUCACACCUCCGUGAGCGGCCUCGGGCUCGCGGUUGAGGCUGAUUGAGGAAGUGGGUUCAGGCGGCCCGCCGUGCCUGGCACACGGUCAGAGUCCCGAAGAGGCUGGGCCACUUUCUGGAGAAAGCCAUGCCAGACAGUGAGAAACAUCUGAAGCCACAGGGCCGUGAGGCCUCCGUGGGGAGGUGCCUUUCUUGGCUCAGCGGUGACCACUGGAAUGCAGCGACUGACCCUUUGCCCCUGGGUGACUUCUGAAGCCUCAAGAAGGUGAAUGAGGGAUUUUGACCCCGUUUCCUCCUAACUCAGUGCCAUGUGCGCUGCUUUGCUUUUCUCUGCCUGGGAACCUUCCCCACUCUGUCUGUCAGGUCACAUGCUCGUGCCGCAAGGCUCAUGUGCCAUGUCCUCUGAAGGACGGCAUCUCUGACCCAUUCUGCCUGACAGGCAGCUGACCAUCUGUGCCCACACUGUACCUGGUACUUAGUCCUAAAAUAGAAUUUAUGAAGUGGAAUGGAUUUGCUUCUAUAUCUGGUUCCCUUCUUUUGACUGCACACUCUAGGGAAAAAUAAAAAUCCUAUCUUAUUUUGACAAAGAUGUAUUGAGAUAUAUUCUUGAUGUAUUUUCUCAAGAAAAAACCCCACAGAUUAGAUUGGAUGGUAAAAUGGUUUGAGAGAGGACUGAGGUUAGUGGUUGUCUCAGGGAUGCGAUCAGCGUGACCCUCUCUUUAAUGCAAAGCCAUGUGCUUCGCCACUCUAUUUAUUUCUAUGGUAAAACAGGGUGGUCUUGUUACCUAGAUCGAUAGGCCUGGCUUCUUGGGCUCUUGGCAGAUUUUCCCAUUAAAGAUUGCCUACAAUGGGCAGCACAGGGAGAGUUUUAGUAGGCAGGGAAAGGGGUCUAGCAGGGCAUGUGGAUUCAUCGGACCUGCCUCACAAGCAAGCUCCUAGAUUUAUUCUCAAGUGUUACCCUCACUAGCAAGCCUUUCCUAGCUCCUCUCCUCAAGCCACAUAGCUCUUCUGUUCUGACAGUGUUCAGAGCUUAGAUCUAUUAUGGCAUAUGCACUGCACUCUCUGUCUCCCCAGCUACACUGUGGAGGGCAGGACCUGAGUCUCAUUUAUCUCUGCACACCUAGAAUUGGCAACAUGAUUGGCAAAUACUAAUCAACAAAUGCUUGCUGAAUGAUGAGAAAAAUAAACUUCCUACAUUCCCAUCUCUCUGUCUGGUUCUUACAUGCUUCUGGCUAGCCCCUGGCCUUUUUGCUGAGUCUUGGAGAAUUUCAAAAUAGUUCAACUGCCUGCCUCCAGCCACUCCAGGUUGUGCCCACAGCUCCACCGCUGUGGCUGCGUACCCUGAUUCAUCGCUGUGCCUACAGUGCAGAAGGACUCCUUUAUUCCAACUAACAUGGCUGCCCUGCGUAAAGUUAGACCAGAAGCAUGGCACAGAGCCAGGAGCUGAUGGACAUUUUGAGAUAGGGAGGGAGGAGAGAGAGAUCCAUGGCUGGUAUCUUUGCAAAUCCAUGGGAAAAAGGAAAGUGUGAAAGUCUCCUCCUGACUCACGGCCCUGAGUUUUCUGGGAAAGGAUUCCUGCUUCCUGAAGACCUUACCUGGUGCAAUGAGGGGGUGGGCAGCCACAGCAGGAACCGUCCGGCUGAGCCCAGCCCGGCCUUCCAUGCUCCCUGG
rnacentral:lncRNA from 10 species